rnacentral:rRNA from 1 species
AGUGAACGCUGGCGGUAGGCCUAACACAUGCAAGUCGAACGGCAGCACAGUAAGAGCUUGCUCUUACGGGUGGCGAGUGGCGGACGGGUGAGGAAUACAUCGGAAUCUACUUUUUCGUGGGGGAUAACGUAGGGAAACUUACGCUAAUACCGCAUACGACCUACGGGUGAAAGCAGGGGAUCUUCGGACCUUGCGCGAUUGAAUGAGCCGAUGUCGGAUUAGCUAGUUGGCGGGGUAAAGGCCCACCAAGGCGACGAUCCGUAGCUGGUCUGAGAGGAUGAUCAGCCACACUGGAACUGAGACACGGUCCAGACUCCUACAGGAGGCAGCAGUGGGGAAUAUUGGACAAUGGGCGCAAGCCUGAUCCAGCCAUACCGCGUGGGUGAAGAAGGCCUUCGGGUUGUAAAGCCCUUUUGUUGGGAAAGAAAAGCAGCAGGUUAAUACCCCGCUGUUCUGACGGUACCCAAAGAAUAAGCGCCGGCUAACUUCGUG